rnacentral:rRNA from 1 species
CCUACGGGAGGCAGCAGUGAGGAAUAUUGGUCAAUGGGCGUAAGCCUGAACCAGCCAAGUCGCGUGAGGGAUGAAGGUUCUAUGGAUCGUAAACCUCUUUUAUAAGGGAAUAAAGUGUGGGACGUGUCCUAUUUUGUAUGUACCUUAUGAUUAAGGAUCGGCUAACUCCGUGCCAGCAGCCGCGGUAAUACGGAGGAUCCGAGCGUUAUCCGGAUUUAUUGGGUUUAAAGGGUGCGUAGGCGGCAGUUUAAGUCAGCGGUGAAAGUCUGUGGCUCAACCAUAGAAUUGCCGUUGAAACUGGGUGGCUUGAGUAUGGUUGAGGCAGGCGGAAUGCGUGGUGUAGCGGUGAAAUGCUUAGAUAUCACGCAGAACCCCGGUGGCGAAGGCAGCCUGCCAAGCCAUGACUGACGCUGAUGCACGAAAGCGUGGGGAUCAAACAGGAUUAGAUACCCGGGUAGUC